GGAAGGAAGGAAGGAAGGAAGGGAGGAAGGAAGAAAGAAAGAAAGAAAAAAGGAAAGAAAGAAAGGAAGAAAGAAAGAAAGGGAGAAAAGAAAGAAGCUACCAUCACAGCUACAGCAUCACAGAGAAUCACAGCCCCACAAGUUCAGUCACUCCUUCACAACCACAGACACAUACACACAAAGCAUCAGAUUCUCAUACAACCUCACACAAGUCAUAGCAUCACAAGCCCUCAAUCACAAACACUGCAUUACAACCACAUAGGACACAGUCACACACAAGUCAUCAUCAGAGCCUCAGUCACCCACACAGGCCAUACAGUCACACCACGUGUGACACACAGGAUACAACGCUUCUCACAUCAGACUUCCAUAGGCUGUCUCACAGUCACACCCAUUACACACAGAGCAUCACAACGGCACACACACAAAUACACACACAGCCUCAAGUUCCUCCUAGCCAAGACAUAUACAUACUGAGGUGAGGACCAGACUUAGUCUGUAGCCCUGGUCCCCUUGACCACUGGUCUUGGAAAUAAAUGGUGAACUUUGCACUGGAUCUGUCUAGUUCAUAGGGGAAGGACGGCUCAUGAAGGCAUAGGGAUAGAUGGGAUGACCCACAAAGGUCACUUUUACAGCUGAGAAAUACGAACCCAGCUGGCUCAACUCCAUGCAGGAAGCUUAGCAGGGAAACCAGAGACCUGAUGCCCAGGUCUGCCUUAGCCUCAAAUCGACAAUUCCUGAGAAAGCAGGGGCUACACACUUCCAAGUACCCUAACUGCAGACCUCCAGCACAGAUUGGCAGUCUACCCAGCCAGGCGGAAGCUUGGAGUAACUGGGGGCAUGAAAGAGUGUGGGGCGGGGCAGAUAAUGAUAUGCAUACAAAUCAAAUGGUUUAUGCAAAUGAGCAUGGACCCAGGAAGUAAGACUUCCCUGGAGCCUAGGAUGAAGACUCAGACCUCAGAGGCGAAUGAAUCAUUCUUGUUAUUGUCGACAUUGUUGUUGACAUCGUUGCCUGGUACAGGGGUGAAGGGGGCUUGGUGAUCAGAUGGUCCUGGGUUCCAAGUCUACUCUACCACUUCCUGGCAGCGUGACCUGGAGCAAAUCCCAUCACUUCUCAGUACCUCUUAGGUAACAAGAGUCCUUACCUCCUAGGUUUAUUGUAAAGAUUAAAUCUGAUGAGGAAAAAGCCAUUUGGUAUGGUGCCUGGUACACAGUAAGAGAGCCAUACGUGUGUGAGUGCCCUAAGUGAUUUACAAAUGUUAAGGAGAGCAUUUGUCAGGCACGUCGCCUACGCCAGGCAUCUCGUGCAAGUCACACCUUUAUCUAGAUCCCUGGGCAGGAGCUGUUGUCGCCCCCAUGUUCCAGAUGCAGAGACUGAGGCAGGGAUGCGUCCCCCACUCUGCCUGCACCAAAGGCACACAGCUUCGUGCCUCUCUGCCUGUGUUGGGCUGGUGGGAGAUGAGACAGCCCCAGAUGCCCAGACCCCACCCAUGCUGGAGUUUCCUUUACUCUCAUCAUGGUCUUUCUGUUUCUGUGGCUUUAAUGAGGAGACCAAGGCGUGGGGAACUUAUCGAAGCCACCAGCUGUCACCAGCGUCUGCCUGGGGAUGGAACCUCUAAGUUUAGCCUCUGAAGAUCAUUCCUGGGAGGGGCCUUGAUUUCAGAUAAAGUGCAGGAGCAGCAAGGCCCCAGCCCAAGCCAGUGACCUACUUUACAACUUCUUAGAAGUCUAUCUACUUGAUUUCCGCUUUCACCUCUGGUGUCUUUUCAGAUUUCACCCUCCCGCCCCACCAACUCUCUCAAGACCCAAAGUCUGCUAUCCUCAGACUCCUUCCCAGCCCAGGGGCAGGAAACUCUCCUGCUUCUGUCCAUCUCUUGCCAGGAUCCAGAGAGCCUGUUUUGAGGAAAUACAAUCUUUUGAGAGCGGCCUCAGCUGACACAGACAGACCCUGCUCCUACUACAAACUCAUAGACAUGCUGAAUAAAGUAUAAUAAAAUACUACAACAUAUAGAUGAACUUGAAGAAAGAAACAUCCCUAGAUGCUUUUGGAAGAGAGAAAUUAAAGCCAGAGUGACAAUGGGGCGGGGGGGGAGAGGCUGUGGGUCAAGGGAGGGGGGGGGGGGGGGGGAUUGGUCCCAAAAGUAGACUCUAGGGGACAAAGAAAUGGGAAUGUGGUAACCCUUAGGGUCAGCGAUGUGGCUCAGAUCUAUAGGACACCAAGGAAAGGGAACUGGGGCCCCUGCCCAGAACCUGAAGCUUGGAAAAGUAGUCCAUUCUGAUUAAGGGGGUCUAGAAAAAGUCUACCUGUUAUGGGCAGGGAGAAGAGUCACCCACAAAGGAUGGAGACCUCAGACCUGCUUCACGUGUGAGUGCGUUUUGAGUCUCUACAGAAAGUGCAGGAAGCAUAAGACAAGCUCCUUGCGGUCAGGGAAUGUGUCUUGUUUUUUCCAUCUCAUAACCAGAACACAAUAGGUUCUCAGAUGAUUGCGGUUGAAUAAACUGACUGUGACUGACCUUGACCAACAGAAUGUUACGGAAAUUCCAGGAAUUCUAGACUCUAGUCCUCAGGAGGCCAAGUAGCUUCCAACGUUUGUCUUCUCGGAGCCCCGAGUGGCCAUGUGAAGAAGUACAGCUAUCCGGUGAGAGAGGAUGGGUGGAUGGAGAGCCCUGGAGGAUGAAAUGAUGUGAGAGGCAAUCCGUAUAGUUCCACCAGCCUCAGAUAAGCUGCCCCAAUCCAUAGGGCUGAAACUAACAUCCUCCCCAAGCCCUGCCGGGCCAACUCACAGAAUUAUGAGCAAAUUAAACACUUGUUUUACACCA